ACCUGGCUGACUCAGUCAGUAGAGCAUGUGACUCUAGAUCUUGGGGUUGUGAGUUCGAGUCCCAUGUUGGGUG
rnacentral:tRNA from 1 species